UACGGAGGGUGCAAGCGUUAUCCGGAUUCACUGGGUUUAAAGGGUGCGUAGGCGGAUAGGUAAGUCCGUGGUGAAAUCCUGCAGCUUAACUGCAGAACUGCCGUGGAUACUAUCUAUCUUGAAUGUCGUGGAGGUUAGCGGAAUAUGUCAUGUAGCGGUGAAAUGCUUAGAUAUGACGAUAGAACACCCAUUGCGAAGGCAGCUAACUACGCGAUAUUGACGCUGAUGCACGGAAAGCGUGGGGAGCAAACAGG
rnacentral:rRNA from 1 species